rnacentral:misc_RNA from 1 species
GAUGAAGAACGUAGCGAAAUGCGAUACGUAAUGUGAAUUGCAAAUUCAGUGAAUCAUCGAGUCUUUGAACGCACAUUGCGCCCCCUGGUGUUCCGGGGGGCAUGCCUGUCCGAGCGUCAUUGCUGCCCUCAAGCACGGCUUGUGUGUUGGGCCCCGUCCUCCGAUCCCGGGGGACGGGCCCGAAAGGCAGCGGCGGCACCGCGUCCGGUCCUCGAGCGUAUGGGGCUUUGUCACCCGCUCUGUAGGCCCGGCCGGCGCUUGCCGAUCAACCCAAAUUUUUUAUCCAGGUUGACCUCGGAUCAGGUAGGGAUACCCGCUGAACUUAAGCAUAUCAAUAAGCGGAGGA